GGGGAUGUAGCUCAGUGUGAGAGUGCUUGCUUUGCAUGUAAGAGGCCCUGGGUUCAACCCCCCAGCAUCUCCA